AAUAAAGAAUAAAACGUAAUGGAAGAAGAAUAUGAACCAGGAGUGAUUUAUGUUUGCAAAUGUGUUUGUCCAGAGUCUUCUUCGGAAAGGGUAGCGAUCUCCGCUCAUAAGAAACGUAUUUUAGGCAUUGUUUCUGAAACUGAAAAUUAUUUGCGAGAACGCAGAAUCCCACAACUUAUAAGAUUUUUAAUAUCGAAAAUAUUAGCACAAGAAUCUGAUAAGCCACUCUUGUAUUUAGAAAAGCUUCUUGAUGAUUGUAUGCUGUUUCGUGCGGGUGUUGGAACCGCCCCUGUAUUGUACGAAAAUAGGCAUCUUGAAGCGGUAAUUAAAAGUUUUGAUCCAGGACAGCGAGGGUGGUUAACAGCUGGACAAAUUCGUCGCCUUUAUGCUACUUUGGGACUUGCAAUUAAAGAUGAAUUUAAUGAAAGUAUGCCGUGUGAAACAGUACUUAAAAAUGUUACUGAGGCACAAGAAAAUGAAUUAUUUGAUUUGAUAUCGGCUGGAGUGGAUGAUUAA